rnacentral:rRNA from 1 species
AACGAACGCUGGCGGCAGGCCUAACACAUGCAAGUCGAGCGGACCCUUCGGGGUUAGCGGCGGACGGGUGAGUAACGCGUGGGAACGUGCCCUUUGCUUCGGAAUAGCCCGGGGAAACUGGGAGUAAUACCGGAUACGCCCUUUUGGGGAAAGAUUGAUCGGCGAAGGAUCGGCCCGCGUUGGAUUAGGUAGGUGGUGGGGUAAUGGCCUACCAAGCCGACGAUCCAUAGCUGGUUUGAGAGGAUGAUCAGCCACACUGGGACUGAGACACGGCCCAGACUCCUACGGGAGGCAGCAGUGGGGAAUCUUAGACAAUGGGGGAAACCCUGAUCUAGCCAUGCCGCGUGAGCGAUGAAGGCCUUAGGGUUGUAAAGCUCUUUCACCGGGGAAGAUAAUGACGGUACCCGGAGAAGAAGCCCCGGCUAACUCCGUG